UCUAGUUCUACUUUGAUUCUAUUGUGGGCCCACUACUGCAUCCAAUGUGAUUUACUUGAAAUCAAAAGUCGAACCACUUUAAAACAAUUUUGGAUCCGCUGCGAAAUUUUUCUUGUUACACUCUGAAAACACUUUCAUUCCAGUUAAAAUCCAUUUCGGAACCAUUUAAUUUCUAUCUUGGAAAAACAUUGCAAACAUUCUGGGUUUACUUUGAAACCUCUCUGAAAACAGCGCACUAACCCAUUCUGGAAACAUACUGGAACCAAUAUAUUUUCAAACUGUUUCCACACUGACGCUGGUUCCAGAGUAAUUCCAGAGUGACCAUAGGGUCACGAGGGAUUGGAUGAUAAUUACGUUGUUCAUUGGGACGGGAAACUUUUAAGUGAUAUAGUUGGGUCUGAUACCGUUGAUAGGCUGCCUAUUGUUUUAUCAUCAUUUGGUGAAGAACAAUUAUUAGGAGUUUCUAAAAUAAAUUCUGGGACUAGAAUAGAAUAAGCAACAGCUGUACAUUCGAUUCUAGAUCAGUGGGGUGUUAGUCGAUAUGUUGAAGCAGUGUGCUUUGAUACUGCAGUUACUAACACGGGUAUUUAUCACGGCGCAGGUGUUGAAUUAGAGAAAGCUUUAGGUCGGGAACUUAUUUGGUUACCAUGUCGUCACCACAUGUUUGAAAUUAUUUUAAAAAGCGUUUUUGAAGUAUAUUGGCCUAAACAAACAGGCCCGAACGUGCCAAUCUUCAAUCGAUUCAAAGGUUUUUGGAACAAAAUUGAUAAAUCAAAAUUCAAAGUGGGUAUAGAAGAUACCGCUGUUGAUCAAGCUUUGUCAGACAUCACUGAUGAAAUUUUAGGAUUCAUUGGAGAAUAUUUGCAGAAAUAUUAUCCAAGGAGUGACUACAGGGAAUUUUUGGAGCUGUCAUCAGUUUUUUUAGGAGUUGUUCCAAAAGAAAAUUUUUCGCUCAAAAGUCCAGGAGCUAUGAGUCAUGCUCGUUGGAUGUCCAAAGCAAUAUAUUGUUUAUAAAUAUUCAUUUUUCGAGAAGAAUUCAAACUCACAACUUAUGAGAUAAAUAGCCUCCGAGAAAUAUGCAAGUUUAUCAUCACAAAUUAUAUAACAGCGUGGUUUACUUCGACUUCAGCGACUUUGGCUGCACAACAUGAUUUAAUUUUCAUGCAGAAAUUAAUUCGAUACAAAGCAGUAAAUUUGGCAAUAUCAACUGCAACUACUGAAAAAAUGAAGAAUCACCUAUGACAUUUAUCUGAAAAAUUAGCCGUAAUAUCUUUAUUUGAUGGAUGUGUAAAAAAUGAAGUGAAAGAACAAAUUAUUGUUAAUUUGAAGAAUCGAGAUGGUUUUAAUACGAAAGCCAAAAAAUUGGAGAUAAAAAAAGAAGACAUUGAAGGAUUUUUGCAGAAAGAUAUGAGUGAUUUUGUAUCAAAAGAUUCUAUGUUCAUUUUUACAGUGAAUAUAGGAAAAAAUUUCCGAAUUGUAAUAAAACUACUCUAAUAUCACAAGGUUAAGGAAAAAAAAAUAAAAAUAAUUUUUAAUUGAA